CGGCCGGGAAGAAAUCGCAUGGGUCAAUACCCUGUGUGGAUGACGGUACCGGAAUAAGAAGCACCGGCUAACUACGUGCCAGCAGCCGCGGUAAUACGUAGGGUGCGAGCGUUAAUCGGAAUUACUGGGCGUAAAGCGUGCGCAGGCGGUUUGGUAAGUCAGAUGUGAAAUCCCCGGGCUCAACCUGGGAACUGCAUUUGAGACUGCCAAGCUGGAGUUUGGCAGAGGGGGGUGGAAUUCCACGUGUAGCAGUGAAAUGCGUAGAGAUGUGGAGGAACACCGAUGGCGAAGGCAGCCCCCUGGGCCAAUACUGACGCUCAUGCACGAAAGCGUGGGGAGCAAACAGGAUUAGAUACCCUGGUAGUCCACGCCCUAAACGAUGUCAACUAGUUGUCGGGCCUUAUUAGGUUUGGUAACGUAGCUAACGCGUGAAGUUGACCGCCUGGGGAGUACGGUCGCAAGAUUAAAACUCAAAGGAAUUGACGGGGACCCGCACAAGCGGUGGAUUAUGUGGAUUAAUUCGAU
rnacentral:rRNA from 1 species